GCGCAGCAGUCGAGAAACCUUCGCAAUGCGGGAAACCGCGACGAGGGGACUCCCAGUGCCUACGCUCAGCGUAGGCUGUCCCCGAGCCUAGAAAGCUCGGGGAGUAAGGGCUGGGUAAGACGGGUGCCAGCCGCCGCGGUAAUACCCGCAGCCCGAGUGGUGGCCACUAUUAUUGGGCCUAAAGCGUCCGUAGCCGGCCCGGUAAAUGCCUGGGUAAAUCGUGAGGCCUAACCUCACGAAUUCCGGGUAGACUGCCGGGCUAGGGACCGGAGGAGGGAGAGGGUACUCCAGGGGUAGGGGUGAAAUCCUGUAAUCCCUGGAGGACCACCGGUGGCGAAGGCGCUCUCCUAGGACGGGUCCGACGGUGAGGGACGAAAGCCAGGGGAGCGAACCGGAUUAGAUACCCCUGUAGU
rnacentral:rRNA from 1 species